rnacentral:lncRNA from 1 species
GACUUCUAGGGGCAGGUUUCCAGCAGCCUCUGAUCUCCAGAUAACUUGACCGGGCCAGUCACAUAGUGAAUGAAAUCAUUUUGGGCCCUUCCCCCAUCAGACACUUUUCCAGGAAAUAGCUUUUUGCUGCCAUGACCUCUUUUGCUGCUGUUUGAUAUCCUUGAUAUGAAAAAUGUGAAUGGAGACGAGCACCCCAUUAACCAGCAGCUCUUAGGCAGCAUUGCUUGUUGGAGGUAUCUUUUCACAGAGGUGAGCCGGCAGCGCCCUGGGCAUUAUGGGAGCAUCCUGAAGGUACGGGGCCUCGUGCUGCAGCCAUUGGAGUGGCUGGCAAGAGUGAUCACAGAAACUGUAAAGCCCUAAGCCCCUGGAAAUGGAGCGCCCUGCGGCUCUGAUUAAGGCUUGUGGAGAGGGAGCUGUAUAAUUGGAUACCCUGAAGCAAACCUCGAGCAGAAUCCUGUAAGGCAGCUUGGGAUUUUCUCUCCCCAAUGUGCUGUUGAAACAUCCGUGAAUUCCAGUUGGUGGUUGUUUUCAUCUGCUUCAAGCCUAGCCCUUGGGUACAGAUGCAGCCGUGUUUCUGGAUGCCAUUUGGAGUAGCUACUUUGAGGACAAGAGACAAAAAGCCUGAGGAGAAAGUCACCAUGAAGGAAACAGAAAGAUUAAACAGCAUGCGUGAUCUUUGAUUCAGAGUCCCCAUCUCACCCUGGACUGCCUUCCUUUGGAAUUCCCUUGUGGAAAAAAAAAUUAAACUCUUAUUUGGUUAAAUAAUUUUCUGGAGGCCAGAAGCCUGACAUCAGUU